rnacentral:rRNA from 1 species
UACGGAGGAUGCGAGCGUUAUCCGGAUUUAUUGGGUUUAAAGGGUGCGUAGGCGGCGAGUUAAGUCAGCGGUAAAAGCCCGGGGCUCAACCCCGGCCCGCCGUUGAAACUGGCGGGCUGGAGUUGGAGAGAAGUACGCGGAAUGCGCGGUGUAGCGGUGAAAUGCUUAGAUAUCGCGCAGAACCCCGAUUGCGAAGGCAGCCUGCCGGCCCCACACUGACGCUGAGGCACGAAAGCGUGGGUAUCGAACAGG